rnacentral:rRNA from 1 species
AUUCCAGCUCCAAUAGCGUAUAUUAGAGUUGUUGCAGUUAAAAAGCUCGUAGUCGGAUUUCUGUUGGGAGCAGCCGGUCCGGCGUUUAUUCGUUGUGCACUGGUGAAUCCCAGCAUUUUCCCGGCAGCGUUUCCCCCACUUUAUUGUGCGGGGUUGCGUCCAACCGGGACUUUUACUUUGAGAAAAAUAGAGUGUUUCAAGCAGGCUUGUCGCCUUGAAUACUGCAGCAUGGAAUAAUAAGAUAGGACUUUGGUUCUAUUUUGUUGGUUAUCUAGGACUAAAGUAAUGAUUAAUAGGGACAGUUGGGGGCAUUCGUAUUUAACUGUCAGAGGUGAAAUUCUUAGAUUUGUUAAAGACGAACUACUGCGAAAGCAUUUGCCAAGGAUGUUUUCAUUG